GACGAACGCUGGCGGCGUGCUUAACACAUGCAAGUCGAACGGAAAGGCCCUGCUUUUGUGGGGUGCUCGAGUGGCGAACGGGUGAGUAACACGUGAGUAACCUGCACUUGACUUUGGGAUAACUUCAGGAAACUGGGGCUAAUACCGGAUAGGAGCUACUGCUGCAUGGUGGGGGUUGGAAAGUUUCGGCGGUUGGGGAUGGACUAGAGGCUUAUCCGCUUGUUGGUGGAGUAGUGGCUUACCAAGGUUUCGACGGGUAGCCGGCCUGAGAGGGUGACCGGCGACAUGGGUACUAAGAGACGGCCCAGACUCCUACGGGAGGCAGCGGUGGAGAAUCUUGCGCAAUAGGCGGAAGCCUGAUGCGGCGACGCCGCGAGCGGGAUGCCGUCCUACGAGUUGUGAACCGCUUUCGCCGGUGACGAAGCGUGAGUGACGGUAAUGGGUAAAGAAGCACCGGCUAACUACGUG
rnacentral:rRNA from 1 species